rnacentral:lncRNA from 1 species
AAACAGAAAUCUGACGAUGUUGCCAAGUCUGGCCUCUAACUCCCAGGCUCAAGCAAUUAUCCGCUGCAGCCUCCCAAGUAGAUAAGAAUGAAUCACAGCACCCUGCCUUAAUGCUGCCUUUCUAACCGGUAGAAGAUUAGAUAAAAGAAAGCUGUCAUUCCAUGGCUGAUUAAAUGGAGAGCAUUAAUAAUACCAAGCCUCUUGCUGCUAACUGAGAAUCCUUUGGAAACACCAUCCCAUCUCUACAGCUUUGGAAGUAUGUGGAUAACCUCUUGUAAAUAGACUUCUGUGAGUUGUCCAAAGACGUGAAGAUAUUUGCAUCCCGUAUGAAUGCUUACCAGUGGGUGACCUUAACAGUGGAGAAUUUUAACAAUCAAGCAGAUAGAAUGUCACAUUCCAUGAACACCAGUCAGCCUUUUUCCCUAGCCACCAUUGUCAUUGCCUAUGAGUUUAUGAACAAAGUGGCCAUUGUGGCAUGGACGGAGAUUAUGCGUGGGAUCAACAAGAACUCCCACUCACUAAGGUUUGCCUGAUUAUGGCCACUGCUGAGGACUCAAUCUGCCAACAGAAGAGAUAAACACAAAGCCCCUAAUAUGAUACCAUUCCUCAGGAUGAUGAGCCAGCUACCUAGUGGCAGGUUGAUUAUAAUGGAUUGCUUCCAUUAUGGAAGAGGCAGCAUUUUGUCUUCACUGGAAUAGAUACUUGCUUUGGAUAUGGAUUUGCCUUUCCUGAUUGCAAUGCUUCUGCCAAAACUGCCAUCUGUGAACUUACAAAAUGCCUUAUCCACUGUAAUGUUAUUUCACACAGCAUUGUUUCUGACCAAUGAACUCAUUUUGCAGCCAAAGAAAUGUAGCAAUGGGCCCAUGCCCAUGGAACUUACUGUUCUUACCAUGCUCCCCAUGACCCAGAACAAUUGUCUUGAUAGAACAGUUGGAAUGGUCUUUUGAAUUUGCAGUUACGACACCAGCUAGGUGAUAAUACUUUGCAGAGCUAGUACGAUGUUCACCAGAAGGCUGUAUAUUCUCCAAAUCAGUGUCUAAAAUAUAGGAUUGUUUCUCCCAUAGCCAGGAUUUAUUGAUCCAAAGAUCAAGGAGUAAAAUUGGAGUGGCACCACUCACGUUACCCCUAGUCACCAACUGACAACAUUUUUGCUUCCUAUUCCCAGGGUUUUAUUUUCAGCUGGCCUAGAGGUCCUAGUUCCAGAGAGAGAAAUGCUUCUACCAGGAGAUGUGACAAUUAGAUCAUUGAACUGGAAGUGGCCACCUGGCCACUUUGGGCUCCUUAUGCCUCUGACUCAGCAGGCUAAGGCAGGGAAUUACUGUGUUGGCUUGAGUAAUUCGUCCUGACUACAAAGGGAAAACUAGGUUACUAUUCCAAAAUGAAGGAAAGGAAGCAUAUGUCUGGAAUACGGGAGAUUCCUUAGAGCAUUUCUUAGUAUUACCAUGCCCUGUCAUUAUGGUCAAUGGGAAACUAUAACAAUCCAAUCCAGGCAGGAUUACAAAUGUCCCAGAUUCUUUGAGAAUAAAGACUUUGGUCACCUUGCCAGGUAAAGAACUACAACCAGCUGAGGUUCUUGCUGAAGGCAAAGGGAAUGCAGAACAGGUAAUAGAAGACAGUUAUAAAUACCAGUUAUGACAACGCAGCCAGUUAUGAAAACAAAGACUGUAAUUGUCAUGAGUUUUUCCUUCCUUUUUUGUUAAGAAUACCUUUGUGCAUAUAUACAUAUGUAUUAAACGACUAUCUUUGUUUUCUUACUUCUCUUAUAUCUUCAUCAUGUACAAAGCAUUUAUUGACUUUAUAUCAUUUAAGUAUCAUUAAGUGUAUAUGAUAGUAUUUAAGUUACGAGAUAUCAGGGGAAGAAUAAACAUCACCCAAGACACUAUCUUCUCCUCUGGGAAAGGGAUUAUUGUGUUUUUGGUUGCAUGAGGGAGAGCUAGGUCAUGUUAUGUCGAACUAUGACCUUGUCAUUGUUUUUAUUUUUAUAGUAAAUAUGGUUUAAGAUGUGUAUGUAUGGGUGCCAAGUUGACCAGGGGUGGAAUUAUGAUAGUUAAUUUUAGGCAUCAAUUUGACUGGAUUGAGGUACACCUAGAUGGCUGGUAAACAUUGUUUCCAUGUGUUUGUAAGGAUGUUUCCAUGGGAAACUGAUGUGUGAGUUAGUGGACUAAGAGAGGAAUACCAAACCUCAAUGUGCGCUGGCACCAUACAAUUAACUACAGACCUGGUUAAGACAACCAGAUGGAAGGAGAGGAACUUUCUCUCUCUGUUCUCUUUUUCCUGCCCUUCUGGAGCAGGGCACCUUUUUCCUUCUGCCCUUAGACAUCAGACUCCAGGUUCUUUGGCUUUUUGACUAUGGAACUUGCACCAGAAGCCUCUCAGGGGCUCUCAGGCCUUUGGCCUCAGACUAGUGACUGCACCGUUGGCUUUUCUGGUGCUGACACUCCUAGACUUGGACUGAGCCAUGCUAAGGAUUCUCUGGUUCUCCAGCUUACAUACAGCUUAUCAUGUCUCUUCUCCACUUCUGUGAUUGUAUAAGCCAAUUCCCUAAUAAUUCCCCUCUCACAUAUUUCACGGUUCCUGUCUCUCUGGAAAACACUGACUUACGUAGUAGGGGACCAUCUAUAUUGAUCUUUCAGUAAGAAAAUGUUCUCAAUAUUAGAAAACCUGAAUAAGAUAGCAUUAUAUAAUACAAAAUAUAUAAUGAGUUGUUGAAUGGGUUUUGAAAUAUAAUAGGUUCACACAUUAUGAGAAAAAUUUAUAAAACCAGAAUUACUCAUUAUUAAAUACAUAUAAUUCCAGGCACUGUCUUAGGCAUCAUGGCUAUAUAAAUAAAUAAAACAUAAAAGUUUAUUAUCUUCCAGAAACUUUUAUUCUGAUGGAAGAAAAAGGCAAUUCAACACAUGCAUAGACAUAUAUAAACACACAUAAGAUCAAGCAUUUGUACCCAUUUGGUACAAAUAAAGUGUAAAAGUGGUAAAAGUGUAAAUCAAAAGUUACAAUCUCAUCUAAAAACAAAAUAAAAUUAGACAACAAAGGCAUCUGCAAUUGCAGGAAUAUGAGAUUAAAUAAACAAUGUGAUAUAGUUUAUAUCUUGAAGGUAUAUAAUGGAAUAAUGAAAAAGACAUACAAAAAAUAUUUUAAAUAAUAUAAAAAUAUAAAAAAUAACAUGCAUAAAGCUGAGGAUGUUUGAGGAAAGAAGAAACAGUUACUUAACAAAACAGUAACGAUAUACAUAAUAUAAUAAAAUAAAAUAUAAACAAUAAAAAAAUUUUUAAAAAGAAUUUAAAUUAUUCAAAAAAAGACAAUAAAGGGGCCAUUAAAAUCCUCAUGCACCCUCAUAAAAAUUUUAAAUUCCUUAUGAGGAAUUCCUUAUUAAAAUUUUAAAUUCCUCCUCAUGAGGAAUUUAAAUUGUUUAUGAGGAAUUUAAAAUUUUUAUGAUGGGUAAUAGAUUUCCAAGUCAUAUUUCCAAGGUUUAUGAGGUUUUAUUUUGGAAAAUGAAAAUUAAAAAUUAAAAAGAAUGAUAGCGUUUUAGAUAAAACUAUCUGGAAUAUUAAAAAAUGGAAGUCUAAUAGUAAAUAUAUAUUUCAUUAAAACAGAACAAGGAUUAAAAUUAAUAUUGGGAAGAAAUCAAAAGAAAUAUUAAACAAGAUAUUCUAAAAGCUAUGAUGAUUUUUUGCCCACUAAGAUAGCCUCUGAUUUAAGGAUGUAUGGACGGUUUUUAAAAGGUUAUAGUACUUAAUAAUAGGUUUCAGGGAUAUGUAGUAGCAUAAAUUGUGAUUUCUUAAUAUUUUGAUAUAUUAAACUGAGAGGGUGUGAAUUUAUUUAAUCAUAUAGUUUAUUUUCCUCCAAUAAUAAACGUUGUAUGGAAGGAUUAAGGAGAUGCUGGCCAAAGAAUACAAACUUUCAGCUAUACAGAAGAAAUAAAUUCAGAAAAAUGUUGUACAAUAUGGUGACUAUGGUUAAUAACAAUGUAUUGUAUAUUUGAAAACUGCUAAAAGUAUAUUUUAAAUAUUUUCAUCAGUUAAAAUGUAAUUGCUGUUCUGAAUAGUGUCUUUGCUAUUGUGAAUAGUACUGCAAUGAAUGUGGGGGUUCAUAUAUCUUUUUGGUAGACAGACUUGUUUUCUUUAGGAUAUAUACCCAGUAAUGGGAUUGCUGAGUUGAAUGUUCAUUAUAAGUACUUUGAGAAAUCUCCAAACUGCUUUCCUUAGUGGCUGAACUAAUUUACAUUCCCACUAACAGUGUAUGAGUGUUUCUCUUUCUCCCAAGCCUCACUAGCAUCUGUUUUUUUAUUUUUUUAAUAAUAACCAUUAUGAUUCAUGUGAGAUGGUAUCUCAUUGUAGUUUUGAUUUGCAUUUCUCUGAUGAUUAGUUAGGUGGAGCAUUUUUUCAUAUGUUUUUUGGGCUGCUUAAAUGUCUUUUUUUGAGAAGUGUCUGUUCAUAUCUUUUGCACAUUGUUUAAUGAGAUUAUUCUGUUUUUGCUUGUUCAAUUGUUAAGUUCCUUACAGAUUCUAAAUACUAAACCUUUCUUAAAUGCAUAGUUUGUGAAUACUGUCUCCCAUUAUGUAGAUCGUCUGCUUACUCUGUUGUUAGUUUCUUUUGCCAGACAGAAUCUCUUUAGUUUAAUUAGGUGCCACUUGUCAAUACUUGUUUUUGUUGCAAUUGCUUUUGAGGACUUAGCCAUAAAUUAUUUUCCAAGUCUGAUGUCCAGAAUAGUAUUUUCUAUGUUUUCUUCUAGGUUUCUUAUACUUUGAGUUGGUACAUUUAACUCUCUAAUCCAUCUUGAGUUAAUUUUUGCAUAUGGUGAGAAACACAGGUCCAUUUUCAUUCUGCAUAUGGCUAGCCAAUUAGCCUAGCACCAUUUAUUGAAUCAUGACUCCCUUGCCCUAUCGCUUAUUUUUGUCGACUUUGUCAAAGACCAAAUGGCUGUAGGUGUGUUGCUUUAUUUCUGGGUUGUUUAUUUUUUUUCCUUGGUCUAAUAUGUCUGUGUUUGUAGCAGUACCAUGCUGAUUUGGUUAUGUACCCUUAUAAUAGAGUUUGAAGUCAGGAAAUAUGAUACCUCUGGCUUUGUUCUUUUUGCUUAGAAUUGCUUGGCUAUUCAGAAUCUUUUUUGGUUCCAUAGGAAUUUUAAAAUACUUUUUCUAGUUCUGUGGAAAAAUGUCAUUUUGAUAGGAAUAGUGUUGUAUCUGUAGAUUCCUUUGGGCAGUAUGGCCAUUUUAACAAUACUGAUUCUUCCAAUUCAUUAGCAUGGAAUGCUUUUCCAUAGGUUUGUAUUGUUUAUGAUUUCUUUUGGCAGUGCUUUGUAGUUCUCCUUGUAGAGAUCUUUUGUUCCUUAGUUAGAUGUAUUCCAAGAUUUUUUUAUAUGUGGUUAUUGUAAAUGGCAUUGUAGUCUUGAUUUGGCUCUCAGCCUAAACAUUAUUUUUGUAUAGAAAUGCUACUGAUUUUUAUACAUUGGUUUCAUAUCCUGAAGCUUUACUGAAGUCAUUUAUCCAUUCCAGGAGCCUUUUGGCAGAUUCUUUAGGUUUCUCUAAGUAUAGGAUCUUAACAUCCAUGAAGAGAGAUAGUUUGACUUAUUCUUUCCCUAUUGGGAUGCCAUGUAUUUAUUUCCCUUGCCUGAUUGCUCUGUCUAGGCCUUCCAGUACUAUGUUGAAUAGGAGUGGUGAGAGUAGGCAUCCUUGUCUUGUUCAAGUUCUUCAGGGGUAUGCUUCUAGUUUUUGCCCUUUUAGUAUGAUGUUUGUUAUGGGUUUGUCAUAGACAGGUCUUUUUGUUUUGAGUUAUGUUCCUUUGAAGCCUAGUUUGUUGAUGAUUUUCAUUAAGGAAUGUUGGAUUUUGUCUAACGCUUUUUCCACAUCUAUUGAGAUAAUCAUAUGAUUUCUGUUUUUAAUUGUUUAUGUGGUGAAUUACAUUUAUUGUUUUGUAUAUGUUGAAUCACUCUUGCAUCCCAGGAAUGAAGUCUAUUUGAUCAUGGUGAAUUAACUUUUUAAUAUGCUAUUUAAUUCAGUUUGUUGAUAUUUUGAGGAUUUUUGCAUCUACGUUAAUCAGGGACACUGGCCUGUAGUUUUCUUUUUUUGUGGUUGCUUUGCCAGGUUUGUGUAUCAGGGUGAUCGUGGCUUCAUAAAAUGAGUUGAAGAGUCCCUCAUCAAUUUUUUGGAAUAGUUUUAGUAGUAGUGGUAACAGCUCUUCUUGUAUAUGUGGUAGAAUUUGUUUAUGAACUCAUCUGGUCUGAGGCUUUUUUUUUUUUUUUUGGUUGCUAGUUUUGUUAUUACUAAUUCAAUUUCAGACUUGAUAUUGAUCUGUUCAGUGUUUCAAUUUCUUCCUGAUUCAGUCUUGAGAUAUUACAUUUCCAGUAAUUUACACAUUUUCUUUAGAUCUUCUGGUUUACCUCUAGAGAUGUUCAUAAUCUCUAAGGUCAUUUUGGAUUUCUGUGGGAUUGGUUGUAAUGUUGAGGGAAGAGAGAGACCCUCUCAUAUUGUUUUAUAUUGUUUUAUACUCAGUACCUGUUUUAAGAAAAAAACAAGGAAGUGAAAUCAAAGACAAGCAGUCCAGCGCCAGGCCCAAAACCAGGCCUGGGCCUGCCUGGCCUAAACCUAGUAGUUAAAAACCAACUCAUGACUUAGAACCCCAUGUUACCCAUAGAUUUCAGGCAUUGUAUGGAAGAACAUUGGGAAACUCCCUGCUCUGUUCUGUUUCACUCUGACUACCAGUGCAUGAAACCCCUGUCACGUAUCCCCUAGAUUGCUCAAUCAGUCACAACCCUUUCAUGUAAAAUCUUUAGUGUUGUGAGCCCUUAAAAGGGACAGAAAUUGUGCACUCGGGGAGCUCGGAUUUUAAGGCAGUAGCUUGCUGAUUCUCCCAGCUGAAUAAAGCCCUU